UCUUAGAAGUUUGACCCCGGACUCCUGAGUUACCACUGACCAAACCUUGGGCAGCCAACAACACCAGCACGCUAAACCACGAGCGCCCCUAUGUCUAAAUUACCCCUUAUUACUCGCCCAAAACUUUGUAUAAAAGCACAAUCUUUUGAAUGGGAAUGGCCAACCUCGGACGGUUGGAUUCCGGAAACGCUGCAGUUCAGACAGUCAGCGAGAAAUAAAUAAUUAAAUAAAAUUGGCUGAUUUUAUAGUUGAAGGCCUCUUUCGUUACUGAAGAAUUAGGGUUUCUCGUUAACAAUGGCGAAGGGAAGGUACGGUCGCUUACAGGUGAAGAAAUGGUCGACAUUGACGCUUGUGUGGUCCAUGCUUCUCAUGCUCUCAGUCGUUAUUUUAAUGCUAUUGGCUUUUGGAAUCGUCUCGCUUCCAAUCAUCGACGACGAUUCUCCGCCACAAGACCUUAGUUCGUUGCGCCGCAUGAUCAUUGAAAGAGGUGAAGGGCUUGGGGACAGGGGGGAGCAGUGGACCGAAGUUCUUGCCUGGGAACCCAGGGCAUUCAUUUAUCACAAUUUUUUGUCCAGGGAAGAAUGUGAGUACUUGAUUAGUCUUGCCAAACCUCAUAUGAAAAAGUCAACUGUUGUUGAUAGCACAACUGGUAAGAGCAAAGAUAGCAGGGUUCGUACAAGUUCUGGAAUGUUUCUGAGGAGAGGGCAAGAUAAAAUCAUUAGGGAUAUAGAGAAAAGGAUUGCAGACUUCAGUUUUAUACCUGCAGAGCAUGGAGAGGGAGUUCAAGUUUUGCACUAUGAAGUAGGGCAGAAAUACGAGCCUCACUUUGAUUACUUCCUUGAUGAGUUUAACACCAAGAAUGGGGGGCAGCGCAUUGCUACUGUUCUUAUGUAUCUGUCAGAUGUUGAAGAAGGAGGUGAAACUCUGUUUCCUGCUGCAACCAAGAAUUUUAGCUCUGUGCCAUGGUGGAAUGAGUUAUCCGAAUGUGCUAAAGAGGGUCUCUCGGUGAAACCAAAAAUGGGUGAUGCAUUGCUAUUUUGGAGCAUGAGGCCUGACGCCACACUAGAUCCUUUGAGUUUGCAUGUUGCCCUGUGAUUAGAGGGAACAAGUGGUCAGCUACAAAGUGGAUGCAUGUUGAGGAGUACACAGUUUAACAUUUAAGCCGGUUGUAAAGGUUGCGCAUGCCUGUACUCCCGCCCAAUUUGGAAUGUCUACUAACGCCCACUUGGAGAACCCACGGUGCCAGUCUCUAAUGAUAUUAGCAAACAUACUGUAGCAACGAUCGCGAUCACUUCAAAUAUCAGCUUCUGCACAGCCACUCUUCACUGUGAAUUAAUUGAGAUUUUAUUUCCUCGCGUCCGUUCAUACUUCAUAGAACCAUUGAAGAGAAUUUUCGGAAUUCAAACUCUUACAAACAGGGAAGUAUGCCUCUCAAUGGAGAGCAAGUCUUUACCCACAUUUUACCAUAAGAUUCAAUUCACAACAGUAUAACAGGUUCUAGAAGGGGUUUUAAAUAGCAAAAAUCCCUUCACAGGGUUGUUGCACAAAACCCACAAAAGUCCUGUUUCAUCAAAAUAAUCUAUCUACAUGCAGGAUAACAUCAGGUAUGAAACAUUCAUAAAACAAUAUUCCUUGAACAAUUAUUUAUUCGAGAACGAUUCUUUCGGUGAGUGUGAUGGGCCCGGGGGGGUGUGGCCCAUAAAACUUUAGUUUAGUUUAGCGAGCAAUGGUUUCCCCCCUAGACGCAGGUACAGCUUUAGGCGUUGGAAAUGCGCAUGAUUUACAAGAUUGAAGAAUCUUCCUUACCUCACCAAUCCAAAGUUGGCUAUUGACACUGUGACAACACCGUAAGCUUGCUAUAUCAAUUUCAAUCAUUCCUCAAAUGAAUGCUGCACAUCAAAUGCUUGAUAGUUAGAAAGCUAGGUUCCACAAAAAAUUUAUUUCUACAACAGGCUGCAUUAACGAAAGCUUGUUGCUCAGGACAAAAAAGCAAAGCUAGUUAGCAAAUGAUAACAAGUCCAUCUAUGAGUAAAAUGAUUAUUUUGCCUAGGCUGGAUUUUGUGUUUGUAAGCCUACAAAUAUCCAUUCAAAAUAUUGGAAAAUCUUGAUUGACCAUGUGUAUUAUUUUCACAUUAAGAAUUGUGGCUAACAAUCCAUAUAACAUGCUAUGUCAGGUCUGGUUAAGCAUAAAGGCUUACCAACCAAAUCAUUUUUACUUGCUGCAAUUUUUUGUGAUAUGCUUUGAAAUGAAACGUCAAGAAAUAUCACUUAAGGAAAUAUGGUUACGAAUUUCCAGCAGGUAAAAUCCAUUGUAUUUCCAAAUUGUAUGUGCUGUGGUGUGCGCCGUAGAGAAAAGAAACAUUUAGAAAUUUCAUUUUAGAAAUGCCACAAGUGAGGCCUGAUCAUGCACAGUAAUAGGCACAAACCUUCACUGUGCUGAUUUUACGAAGCUGGCCCAGGAUCUCAGCAAAAUCUGCAGGUGGAGGGCAUUGAAAGUAUACAUUCUCCAUUGUGUGUGGAUGCAUGAACCUGAGGAAAAAAAAAAAAAAAGCAGCGGGGGUAGUAACUAUUCUGUACCACAAUUUGUGAACUAAAUAUUGCAAACUUAGCUAUAUCCUCUGACCCAAGAGCCAAGGCAUGGAGGCAAUGCCUCUCCAAUUGAGAAACCAGUUGCAAAAGUUGCCCAUGACGGCUAGGUGGGGUUCUAGGCCGAAGCAGUGAUAAAGCCAUGCUCUUGGUCCCUCCAUACACCUCAUCACCUAAAAGUGGAAUUCCCAAGUACUUCGCAUGUGCACGAAUCUAGUUCAAAUAAAGCAAUCCAAGAAUUUAAUGAUUAACAACUUUUAAUAUGUGCAUGUGGUAUUCAAUGUAUUUCAAAGAUGCUUUAGAAAAAAUAAUAAGAUUUAUAUUGUAUGAUGAUGCCAUUUAUUGAGUAUUUGCCUCAUUUUUAUUUUUAUGUUCUAAAAUUGGUCAGGUGACUAUGAGGGUGAGUUUGGAGGCCAGAGUCAGUAAAGGAGACAUUGACCUAGUGAAGAAUUGAACAAGUGUUUAUUAUUAGGAGGCAUUACAUUUAUUAUUUUGGUAUGUAAAAAUUUAGUAACAUCAUGAUUUUACUUAGUUUUGGUAUGUUGGAGGUGUUCCAUUUAUUAUUUUGAGGUUUAAUAAAGUUCUUACUUCUUAGUCAUAAUUGAAGUUUUAA